GAAAUAUUCCAGAUAGCUACCCUGACUCUUUUAUAGAGAUGGGGAGGAAAGUCCGACCACCGGCCAGCGCGCAAGUGCUUGGUCAUGGGCAGUUGCUAACGGCAACCCGGAAAUAAGUGAGCCUAGACCUUGGGAUAUGAGGUCUGCGCUUUAAUAAAUCGAGGGAAAGUGCCACAGAGACAAUACUAGUUUUGCUUUAUUGCAAGAUGAAAGGUGAAAAGUAUGAUGGUGUGAGCUUAGCUUGCUACAUCGUAUCCUUCCGUGUGAGCGGAAUGUGGUGGUAAACCCUGCCUGGUGCAACCCGUAUGGGGCUCGAGGCGUCUGGCAACAGACGUCCCAGAUAGAUGGCUAUCCGUCUUGCUAAACGGAGACGACAGAAGUCGGCUUAUCGGAAUGUUUCGGAA
rnacentral:RNase_P_RNA from 2 species